CAAACUGAAGAUGGCGACCGGCGCACGGGUGAGUAACACGUAUCCAACCUGCCGAUAACUCCGGAAUAGCCUUUCGAAAGAAAGAUUAAUACCGGAUAGUAUACGAAUAUCGCAUGAUAUUUUUAUUAAAGAAUUUCGGUUAUCGAUGGGGAUGCGUUCCAUUAGUUUGUUGGCGGGGUAACGGCCCACCAAGACUACGAUGGAUAGGGGUUCUGGGAGGAAGGUCCCCCACAUUAGAACUGAGACACGGUCCAA
rnacentral:rRNA from 1 species